rnacentral:rRNA from 1 species
GACGAACGCUGGCGGCGUGCUUAACACAUGCCAGUCGAACGGUAAGGCCUUUCGGGGUCAUACGAGUGGCGAACGGGUGAGUAACACGUGAGCAACCUGCCCUUGACUUCGGAAUACCAGCUGGAAACAGCUGCUAAUACCGGAUAUGACCCUGGUCCUCCUGGACUGGGGUGGAAAGCUCCGGCGGUCAGGGAUGGGCUCGCGGCCUAUCAGCUUGUUGGUGAGGUAAUGGCUCACCAAGGCUUCGACGGGUAGCCGGCCUGAGAGGGCGACCGGCCACACUGGGACUGAGAUACGGCCCAGACUCCUACGGGAGGCAGCAGUGGGGAAUAUUGCACAAUGGGCGCAAGCCGGAUGCAGCAACGCCGCGGGCGGGAGGACGGCCUUCGGGUUGUAAACCGCGUUCAGUAGGGACGAAGCCACAAGUGACGGUACCUACAGAAGAAGGACCGGCUAACUACGUG